AUGAACGCUGGCGGCGUGCCUAAUACAUGCAAGUCGAGCGAACGGACGAGAAGCUUGCUUUUCUGAUGUUGGCGGCGGACGGGUGAGUAACACGUGGAUAACCUACCUAUAAGACUGGGAUAACUUCGGGAAACCGGAGCUAAUACCGGAUAAUAUUUUGAACCGCAUGGUUCAAAAGUGAAAGACGGUCUUGCUGUCACUUAUAGAUGGAUCCGCGCUGCAUUAGCUAGUUGGUAAGGUAACGGCUUACCAAGGCAACGAUGCAUAGCCGACCUGAGAGGGUGAUCGGCCACACUGGAACUGAGACACGGUCCAGACUCCUACGGGAGGCAGCAGUAGGGAAUCUUCCGCAAUGGGCGAAAGCCUGACGGAGCAACGCCGCGUGAGUGAUGAAGGUCUUCGGAUCGUAAAACUCUGUUAUUAGGGAAGAACAUAUGUGUAAGUAACUGUGCACAUCUUGACGGUACCUAAUCAGAAAGCCACGGCUAACUACGUG
rnacentral:rRNA from 1 species